GCGGCCGCGCGGGCUGCGGGUUCGCGCCCCUCCCGGAGCGAGCCCGGGGGGGCGGGUCCGCGGGGGCUCGGCGGGAGGGAGCUCGAUGGGGGUUGGGGGAGAACGACCCGGAGCCCGCAACUUGGGCGCCAGCUGCUGCCACCCGGCCACUUUCGCCUCAAGCGCCCAGCUGUGCUGACGCGCGCCGCUCGCCCGUUCUCUCGCCCCGGGCCGCCAGCCUCCGCCGUGGCCGCGAGGUGCCCGGGCGCGUUCCCGCAGCCCGCCGGCAGGCGCGCGCGAGCCUCGGGACCGCGCCAGGCCGCGCGCCGGCGCCGCGUUACCCCCCGCCGUACCCGCCCCCCCCCCCAACGCGCCGCCGCCGCCGCCCGUUGGCGCCUCAACCCGUGCGCCCGCCACCCGCCGACUCCCCGCGGUUCCCGCUGGCAAAGUUGCUCGGCCUCUUCAGGAGGGCGCCGCACCGCCCCUCAGGCCGCCGCGCGGGAAGGCCCAGCCGGCCGCCCCGCUUUUUUACCUGACGGAGUUUUCGCGCGCGCGCGCACUCGCUCGCUCGCUCUCCCCUCUCGCUCGCUCGUUUUCUUUCUUUCCUUUUUUUGCGCUCGCCCGCGCGAGGCGCCUUUUCCGCUCGCGCCGCCCGCGCCCGCCUGCUCGCGCCCUCCUUCCUGCUGGGCCCGGCAGAGCGGGGCGGCCGGCAGCUCUCCCCGCCCCCCUGCACCCGCGCUCCGGCGGAGGCGGCGGCGCCGCUCCGCGCUCCGACUCAUUCCAAUAUGGCACGGACGCAGGGCGCAUGCGCCCGCACUCCCCCAACCCCCUCCCUACCCCCAGCCCCACGGUCCUCCCGGCAACCCGCGCCCCUCGCCUAGCGCGUGUGGCACUCACGGCUCAGCCUCCCCGCGGCCACCAGGGCUUGGAGCUGCACGGGAGAGGAGGCGUCGGUGGGCCCAGGUCCAUUGCGCGCCGCGUCCCCAGUCGGCACCUCGCCGAGGACGCCCGCGAGGCGGGGGCGGCGCGGCGUGGGCCUCUGAUCCCCGACGGCGCCGUGGACUGCGUGCGGUUGAGAGACGCGCUCUCGGGCUCCGGAGGCGUGCCCUGGCCCUGCAUGGAUUUUGGAGAGAAAGACCUCACCUUGGCUUCUGGACCGAGCGGUUCAGGACCCGGCGAAGUCCCUGA
rnacentral:lncRNA from 1 species